AUAAGAUUGAACUAAUCAAUCUCUGUGGGACAAUAUUCAGACUCAAUUAAUCCACUUUAUUACUUGUUAACGAACCGUACAUUUGUGGUGAUUUAAAUCGAAAGAAAAUAUUUCAUGAACAGAAAUCACGAACAAUCUUCUAGUUCCUGUUAAUUCAUUCAUGAAUGCGGAAAGCUGUGCAUCAAAGAGUCGUCGAUUCCGCGGAAUGCCAAGAAUUUGGACAAAUAAUUCAGAACACUCAAUUUUCAUUUCAUUAUCUUUUUUUCAAAAGACCAAGGUGGUCUUUUUUGGGAAUAAAAUAGAAUAAUUUUUUUUUUAUGACCAUGGGUAUUUGAGUCAGUUUACACACACCUCAACUAAUUCCAUGGAGUCCUAAAGUUUACUGCCGGAUACUCACCUCAGUAGCUCGAAGGGGAGUCAAACUGAUGACUAUAGGGAAACAAACCCAAGGUCUGACCACUGAGCUACCCCUCAGGGUUUAAAAUAAAAUAACUUUCUAUUUGGAAAUUUCAAUAUACCACAAUAGAAUCAUAUAUUAUAAUAAUAAAAAAUGCCAUAAGCAAAUCUUAGUCAAAGGAAACAAUCCAAAAUCAUCAUAAAACAAUAAAAUCUUAAAAAUACCAUAAUAGAGAAAUUCCAUAAGUGGAUUGCAUUACCUGUUGAGAAGUAGAUGGCAAUAUAAUCUUAUGGAAUAAAAUGACCACAUUUAUUCAUCAAUUAUUGAAAAUUUAUAUUAUCAACUAUAAAGUAUGCCUUUUGCAUUUAUGUGCAUAAUCUAAUGUAACUUAGAAAACUUCAAUAUUUGCUCAGGAAUAAAUAAUAAUGAGUCGCAACCUAAC
rnacentral:lncRNA from 1 species